rnacentral:rRNA from 1 species
AUUGAACGCUGGCGGAAUGCUUUACACAUGCAAGUCGAACGGUAGAGGGGGCAACCCCUCGAGAGUGGCGAACGGGUGAGUAAUAUAUCGGAACGUGCCCAGUCGUGGGGGAUAACGUAGCGAAAGUUACGCUAAUACCGCAUACGAUCUAAGGAUGAAAGCGGGGGAUCGCAAGACCUCGCGCGAUUGGAGCGGCCGAUAUCAGAUUAGGUAGUUGGUGGGGGAAAGGCUCACCAAGCCAACGAUCUGUAGCUGGUCUGAGAGGACGACCAGCCACACUGGAACUGAGACACGGUCCAGACUCCUACGGGAGGCAGCAGUGGGGAAUUUUGGACAAUGGACGCAAGUCUGAUUCAGCCAUUCCGCGUGCAGGAUGAAGGCCCUCGGGUUGUAAACUGCUUUUGUACGGAACGAAAAGGUCUCUCUUAAUACGGGGGACUCAUGACGGUACCGUAAGAAUAAGCACCGGCUAACUACGUGCCAGCAGCCGCCGUAA